AGUUAAUGUGGAGGAAGGAAGGGGCCACGGCAGGUCAGUAUGCCCCGAAACCCUAGGGCUACACGCGGGCUGCAAUGGUAUUGACAAUGUGUUCCGAAUCCGAAAGGAGGAGGCAAUCAUCAAACAAUAUCUCAGUUAUGACUGAGGGCUGUAACUCGCCCUCACGAAUAUGGAAUCCCUAGUAACCGCGCGUCACUACCGCGCGGUGAAUACGUCCCUGCUCCUUGCACGAAUUCGCCG
rnacentral:rRNA from 1 species